GGGGAAUAUUGCACAAUGGGCGAAAGCCUGAUGCAGCAACGCCGCGUGAGUGAAGAAGGUUUUCGGAUUGUAAAGCUCUGUUGCCAGGGAAGAACGUCCUGUAGAGUAACUGCUACAGGAGUGACGGUACCUGAGAAGAAAGCCCCGGCUAACUACGUGCCAGCAGCCGCGGUAAUACGUAGGGGGCAAGCGUUGUCCGGAAUUAUUGGGCGUAAAGCGCGCGCAGGCGGCUGUUUAAGUCUGGUGUAUAAUCCUGGGGCUCAACCCCGGGUCGCACUGGAAACUGGGCAGCUUGAGUGCAGAAGAGGAGAGUGGAAUUCCACGUGUAGCGGUGAAAUGCGUAGAGAUGUGGAGGAACACCAGUGGCGAAGGCGACUCUCUGGGCUGUAACUGACGCUGAGGCGCGAAAGCGUGGGGAGCAAAC
rnacentral:rRNA from 1 species